rnacentral:rRNA from 1 species
GACGAACGCUGGCGGCGUGCUUAACACAUGCAAGUCGAGCGGAGCGGCGAACGGGUGAGUAACGCGUGAGUAACUGCCCCCCUCUCUGGGAUAACAGUUGGAAACGGCUGCUAAUACCGGAUAGUGGGGGUUGAUUCUCGUCCUAUCAGCUUGUUGGUGGGGUAGUGGCUUACCAAGGCGACGCCGGGUAGCCGGCCUGAGAAGGCGACCGGCCACAUUGGGCUGAGAGACGCCCCAGACUCCUACGGGAGGCAGCAGUGGGGAAUAUUGCACAAUGGGGGAAACUCUGAUGCAGCAGCGCCGCGUGCGGGAUGACGGCCUUCGGGUUGUAAACCGCUUUCAGCCAUGCCGCGGUAGUGGCAGAAGAAGCACCGGCUAACUACGUGCCAGCAGCCGCGGUAAUAC